CACAUCCACUGGGGGUGCCCGUACGGGCUGAGAUUCACCCUUAAUACCUGAUCUAGAUCAUGCUAGCGUAGGGAAGUGGCAUAUUUCAUUA
rnacentral:ncRNA from 2 species